rnacentral:rRNA from 1 species
UACGUAGGCAGCGAGCGUUGUUCGGAGUUACUGGGCGUAAAGGGUGUGUAGGCGGUUGUUUAAGUUUGGUGUGAAAUCUCCCGGCUCAACUGGGAGGGUGCGCCGAAUACUGAAUGACUUCGAGUGCGGGAGAAGAGAGUGGAAUUCCUGGUGUAGCGGUGAAAUGCGUAGAUAUCAGGAGGAACACCGGUGGUGUAGACGGCUCUCUGGACCGUAACUGACGCUGAGACACGAAAGCGUGGGUAGCAAACAGG